UUGAUCAUUAUAUAUUUUAAAACUAGAAUGAUACAGAGAAAGUUAGAAUGGCCUAUGAACAAAUAAGAUGCACAAAUUCAUGAAAUGUUCAAUAUUUUU
ensembl:snRNA U6 U6 spliceosomal RNA